rnacentral:misc_RNA from 1 species
ACUCUCAAGGGUAUUACACAGUAUUAUGCUUUUGUUGAAGAGCGGCAGAAAGUACACUGUCUAAACACUCUUUUCUCUAAGCUUCAAAUAAACCAAUCAAUCAUAUUCUGCAACUCAGUGAAUCGGGUAAGAACUUUUGGCCAAGAAGAUCACAGAGCUCGGAUAUUCUUGUUUUUACAUCCACGCAAAGAUGUUGCAAGACCAUCGUAACAGAGUGUUUCAUGACUUCCGCAAUGGUGCAUGCAGGAAUCUUGUUUGUACGGAU